AGGAUUAACGCUGGCGGCGUGCCUAACACAUGCAAGUCGAACGAGGUAGCAAUACCUAGUGGCAGACGGGUGAGUAACGCGUGGUCAACCUACCGUUGAGUGGGGGAUAACUAGCCGAAAGGUUAGCUAAUACCGCAUACGAGUUUCGGGGGCAUCCCUGAUUCUUAAAAGGAGCAAUCCGCUCGAUGACGGGACCGCGUCCCAUUAGCUAGAUGGUGGGGUAACGGCCUACCAUGGCACCGAUGGGUAGCUGGUUUGAGAGAGCGACCAGCCACACUGGGACUGAGAAACGGCCCAGACUCCUACGGGAGGCAGCAGUGAGGAAUUUUCCGCAAUGGGCGAAAGCCUGACGGAGCGACGCCGCGUGUGGGAAGAAGGCCUUCGGGUCGUAAACCACUGUCGAAGGGACGAUAAUGACGGUACCCUUGGAGGAAGCCCCGGCUAACUACGCGCCAGCAGCCGC
rnacentral:rRNA from 1 species